rnacentral:rRNA from 1 species
GACGAACGCUGGCGGCGUGCUUAACACAUGCAAGUCGAACGGAAAGGCCCUGCUUUUGUGGGGUGCUCGAGUGGCGAACGGGUGAGUAACACGUGAGUAACCUGCCCUUGACUUUGGGAUAACUUCAGGAAACUGGGGCUAAUACCGGAUAGGAUCUCCUGCUGCAUGGUGGGGGUUGGAAAGUUUCGGCGGUUGGGGAUGGACUCGCGGCUUAUCAGCUUGUUGGUGGGGUAGUGGCUUACCAAGGCUUUGACGGGUAGCCUGCCUGAGAGGGUGGCCGGCCACAUUGGGCCUGCGAUACGGCCCAGACUCCUACGGGCGGCAGCAGUGGGGAAUAUUGCACAAUGGGCGGACGCCUGAGGCAGCAACGCCGCGUGCGGGAUGCCGGCCUUCGGGUUGUAAACCGCUUUCGCCUGUGACGAAGCGUGAGUGACGGUAAUGGGUAAAGAAGCACCGGCUAACUACGUG